rnacentral:rRNA from 1 species
CGCCGCGUGGAGGAUGAAGUCCCUUGGGAUGUAAACUCCUUUCGAUCGGGACGAUAAUGUUACGGUACCGGAAGAAGAAGCACCGGCUAACUCUGUGC